AUACGUAGGUGGCAAGCGUUGUCCGGAAUUAUUGGGCGUAAAGCGCAUGUAGGCGGUUUGGUAAGUCGGUCGUGAAAAUGCGGUGCUUAACGCCGUAUGGCGAUCGAAACUGCUGAACUUGAGUGCAGGAGAGGAAAGGGGAACUCCCAGGGUAGCGGUGGAAUGCGUAGAGAUUGGGAGGAACACCAGUGGCGAAGGCGACUUACUGGACUGUAACUGACGCUGAGGCGCGAAAGUGUGGGGAGCAAACAGGAUUAGAUACCCUGGUAGUCCACACUGUAAACGAUGAAUGCUAGGUGUAGGGGGUAUCGACCCCUUCUGUGCCGCAGUCAACACAAUAAGCAUUCCGCCUGGGGAGUACGGCCGCAAGGUUGAAACUCAAAUGAAUUGGCGGGG
rnacentral:rRNA from 1 species